rnacentral:rRNA from 1 species
UACGUAGGGGGCAAGCGUUGUCCGGAAUCAUUGGGCGUAAAGAGCGUGUAGGCGGCUCGAUAAGUCUGCUGUGAAAGUCCAGGGCUCAACCCUGGAAGGCCGGUGGAAACUGUCGGGCUAGAGUCCGGAAGAGGCGAGUGGAAUUCCCGGUGUAGCGGUGAAAUGCGUAGAGAUCGGGAGGAACAUCUGUGGCGAAGGCGGGUCUCUGGGCCGAUACUGACGCUGAGACGCGAAAGCGUGGGGAGCGAACAGG